rnacentral:lncRNA from 1 species
CGUCCAUCCCCCUUCUACUUCUCUCUCACCCCCCUCCUCCCUCCGCCUUCUUUCUCCUCUCCCCUCCCUUCUCUCCUCUGAAUAAGCAAGGCUUUUGCUCUAAAAGUGCACAAGUAAUCCUCGCUGUGUGACAGGAGAGAGAGAAGAAGAGAGACGACGAGGAGAGAGAGAGAGAGAGAGAGAGAGAGAGAGAGAGAGAAACGAGCUGGCCGAGAGGAGCAGAAGGCAGGAGGGGAAAUCUGGCACAACGGCUGGGAGAGGAAACUUGAUGCUUCUGGGCCACCAUUUGCCAGGGCCUCGCUCAAGGAAAUUGCUUUGUAGAUGAGGACAAAAACUUUUAUGGAGACCUAAGAGACUGAAGACAUCUGGCCUGGACUACUCCGAUGGU